CCUACGGGAGGCAGCAGUGGGGAAUAUUGCGCAAUGGGCGAAAGCCUGACGCAGCGACGCCGCGUGAGGGAUGAAGGUCUUCGGAUCGUAAACCUCUGUCAGCAGGGAAGAACGGUCACUGUGCUAAUCAGCAGUGAAUUGACGGUACCUGCAAAGGAAGCACCGGCUAACUCCGUGCCAGCAGCCGCGGUAAUACGGAGGGUGCGAGCGUUAAUCGGAAUUACUGGGCGUAAAGCGGUCGUAGGAGGUAUGUCAAGUCAAGGGGGAAAUCCCCGCGCUCAACGUGGGAACUGCCUUUGAAACGGGCAAACUGGAGUGUGUGAGAGGAUAGUGGAAUUGCAGGUGUAGGAGUGAAAUCCGUAGAUAUCUGGAGGAACAUCAGUGGCGAAGGCGACUAUCUGGCACAUAACUGACGCUGAGGAGCGAAAGCGUGGGUAGCAAACAGGAUUAGAUACCCUUGUAGUC
rnacentral:rRNA from 1 species